AGUUGGAAGUGGGGAUCUAGGCACCUGCAACUUGCUCACAAUUUCGCAAAGCUUUCCUUCAACUCGUUGCUGAAAGAGCUUUGCUGAAAUCGUGCCAGAUCUAUCUCUUCCAGCUCA
rnacentral:pre_miRNA from 1 species